AUGCACCCGGGAGUGAUGCACCCGGGCGGAGGCGCCCAGUGCGGCAACAGCGCGACAGGGCGCCGAGCCCCUCCGGAGCGCCCCGAGCGACGCCGAGUCGGGAGCCUCGCACUCGUCGCCCGAAGCUCGGCCUCCGUCAACCCGUUCGCCACCAGUUUUUUUGUCCGCCCGCUCUUAUUUUUCAUUUUUUUCUCGUCUCGCCGAGUCGGUAUUUAUUCGGGGUUAUUAUUGUUUUUCAUCCCCCGUGUCGCCGUGGCCGGCUCCGGGGGUCGUGAUCCGCGUAGUCGCGAGUGUCGGGUGUUUACGCCGAUGACGCCGGCCGCGGCGCCGAUGACGCAAUCACCAUCGCCGCGUCCUCCUCAGUGCAGUGUCGCUAGUCAAGCUGUCCUCCUUCGCUUCCAGUCGUUGAGCAAUUCGGUUUCCGUUUCAAAAAAACCUAGUUGCCACAAGAAGCUUUUUGAAAUUCUAUUCUCAUGUAUUCUAGUUAUCGGAGCAUGAGGAAAUCACCAAAGCAGUACGUGUUCCCGUUAUCGUUUCUGAAUCAGUGCGAUCCAAAACCGGGAAUGCAGCGGCAGUGCAGUGAAACGUUCGAGUGACGAAAGUGCCCCCUUGUUCCCCCUUUUUUUCAAGCGUCACAGGAUCCGAGAACGACAAACGAACGAUCCGUAAUGAAUACGCGAUGGAUUCCGCCUCCUGUGUUGCCGAUCCCCCUUGGAAAUUCGUCCUUUUCAUCGGAGUUCGUAUCCGGGGAAGGUGCGGUUCGGCACCACCGUGCGCCCCCUGCCGCGGACGGGGCUUGAACGCCCCCGUGCUUGGAGGGGUUCCAAGUUGAAAAAGCGCCCCCCGCCCCCCUCGGGACCAUCCCCGAGACAGUGCGCGCGCGGGUGCAAGCGCGAUACCGGUGAUAUUCUUUUAAUGAAAGCAUCCACCUUGCAAAUAUUCGAAUCCGUAAUGGGAUAUACAAUGGGCUGUUCCUGCUUUUCUAAAGGUAAGCAUCGUCACCGUUUUCGUCGUCCUUUUACCUGUCACUUUGCCGCGGCGCACAAUGGAUCGAAUCAAUGCGGGAGGUCGGACGAAGUUUGGAAACUUUAAACGCUUAUAACCCCGCUCAAACAAAACUUUGAGAUUCUGAUAGUCAGAGUUCCCAGCGAUCUGGAAAACCUGGAAAACCUGGAAAAGUCAGGGGAAAAAAAAUGGUCUGGAAAACCUGGAAAAGUCAGGGAAUUUGCUUUAAAAGUCUGGAAUUUCAUCAAUGCAUGUAUCGUUGAAUGCGUUUAUAUUUCGCCAAUUUUUUUUUCCAACACAUUUUAAGUUUUUUUGUGAUUUCAUUCGUGUUAUGAUACUAUCCUAGCCUGGUUCUUAUAAAAAAAAAGCUAAACCAGAUCAAAAAUUGAUGAAAAUAGAGGAGCUUUUACAAGAACCGAAAAAUGCGCGCGCACGCUGUCUCUUUUAGGGCAAAUUAUUUGAGUUUUUUCCACGGAAAAAGGCCUGGAAAAAUUUUCAUUUUGGCCUGGAAAACCUGGAAAAGUCAGGGAAUUUUUUUUCCAAAAUUGGCUGGGAACCCUGAUAGUGGUUCUAUUGGUUUCCGCGUGGAAUUUUCUUCUAGAACCACCCCUUACAAUUUAAAAUGCAACGAUAUAAACAUAAAAAUUUGCAGUUUUAGUCAACAAUUUUAUGUCCGACCUCUCUAAUUGACUCGAUCCACUGUGCGGCGCCGGCACCUGCGGGUCGAUUGUUGAAUCGUUAUCGAAUGACCUUGAUCGAUAUAUAGCAUUGUGAAGAUAGGGAGUUAUCGAUCGAAUUCAUUCGAUAAACGAUUCAACAAUCGAGGCGCUGGAUCGUUUUACUGCCGUGCGAAGGGAGAGUGCCGCACAAGCUUUUGAAUGUUGCCGUAUUUCCCCUUUUAAAUCUGUCUUGAGGAAUAAUACACACUGAAAAAAAAAUCUCGGUGUAUUUAUCAAGAAAAGGGUAAAAUUACCAAUAAUUCAGGGUUCUAUAUGAUCCCUGUUUUUUCUUGGUAAAAAUUUCCAUUUACGGUAUUGGUAAUUUUACCGAGAAAUCUCGGUAAAAUUAUUGUAUUUACGGCAAAGUUACCGUUGGAUCUUGGUAAAAACGCCAAGAUUUUUAUCGACUGUGGUAGAAUUACCGAGAUAAAAUGGUAAAGUUACCGGGAAUUGAUUAACAAUAAAAGUGGUAUUCUUACCUGAAAACCCAGUAAAAAUACCAGUUUUUAGGUAAGCUUACCAGUCUGUCUUGGUAACAUUACCAAUAAUUGGUAAAAAAAGUGAGAUGGUAAAGUUACCAACGGACCUUGGUAAAAACGCCGAGAAUUUUUUUUCAGUGCAAGUAUUUUUUUCCUCUUAAAUAUUCCAACAUCCGGGAUCAAAGUUUAAGCAAAAUUCUGUACACAAUUCAUUGGAAAAAGUCAGCAAGUCACCACGGAAGUGCAUUUUUCAUCGGGAGAAAUUUGGCAGCGUUUGAAUUUUGUACGAUGCUUAUCACUAACACGGUAGGCCAGAGAGAGGUUGCCAGUUUUAUUGUAGUGCUAGUGUCUCAAACCAUGAAACAAACCAACAGUGAUGAUCCCUGGAUGGUGGGCAUAACUGUUGUUUCCCUAUUAGAAUUCAUUACAAAUAAUCGAUCUUCGAUGCAGCAGGCUGCCUCGAUAAAUAUCUAUUUUUUCGUAUUGAUUCAAAUGAGCGAACCCAUCCACUAUGGUCUGGAAUCGCCAAAUCGUGGCCAAAAACCGAUUUUUUGAAAGUGCGAAAAUCUGGCAACCCAGCAUGCAGCCCUUAUCUACGUCCUUUAGCAGUUGUGAAAUAACCUAUCAAAUUUAGAUGUAUAGUGGCAAACUUCACAUGGUU
rnacentral:lncRNA from 1 species